rnacentral:rRNA from 1 species
GGGAGGGUAGGUUAGUCUAUACGAGCGCACCCUGUUGUUAGUUGCCAGCGAGUAAUGUCGGGAACUCUAGCAAGACUGCCAGUGCAAACUGUGAGGAAGGUGGGGAUGACGUCAAAUCAUCACGGCCCUUACGUCCUGGGCUACACACGUGCUACAAUGGUAGGUACAGAGAGCAGCCAAUGCGCGAGCAUGAGCGAAUCUACAAAACCUAUCUCAGUUCGGAUCGGAGUCUGCAACUCGACUCCGUGAAGCUGGAACCGCUAGUAAUCGGAUAUCAGCCAUGAUCCGGUGAAUACGUUCCCGGGCCUUGUACACGCCGCCCGUCAAGCCAUGGAAGCCGGGAGUGCCUGAAGUCCGUCACCGCAAGGAGCGGCCUAGGGUAAAAUCGGUAACUAGGGCUAAGUCGUAACAAGGUAGCCGUACCGGAAGGUGCGGCUGGAACACCUCCUUUCU